UCGAGCGGAUGAGGGAGCUUGCUCCUGGAUUCAGCGGCGGACGGGUGAGUAAUGCCUAGGAAUCUGCCUGGUAGUGGGGGAUAACGUUCCGAAAGGAACGCUAAUACCGCGUACGUCCUACGGGAGAAAGCAGGGGACCUUCGGGCCUUGCGCUAUCAGAUGAGCCUAGGUCGGAUUAGCUAGUUGGUGAGGUAAUGGCUCACCAAGGCGACGAUCCGUAACUGGUCUGAGAGGAUGAUCAGUCACACUGGAACUGAGACACGGUCCAGACUCCUACGGGAGGCAGCAGUGGGGAAUAUUGGACAAUGGGCGAAAGCCUGAUCCAGCCAUGCCGCGUGUGUGAAGAAGGUCUUCGGAUUGUAAAGCACUUUAAGUUGGGAGGAAGGGCUGUAGGCUAAUAUCCUGCGGUUUUGACGUUACCAACAGAAUAAGCACCGGCUAACUUCGUGCCAGCAGCCGCGGUAAUACGAAGGGUGCAAGCGUUAAUCGGAAUUACUGGGCGUAAAGCGCGCGUAGGUGGUUCGUUAAGUUGGAUGUGAAAGCCCCGGGCUCAACCUGGGAACUGCAUCCAAAACUGGCGAGCUAGAGUACGGUAGAGGGUAGUGCAAUUUCCUGUGUAGCGGUGAAAUGCGUAGAUAUAGGAAGGAACACCAGUGGCGAAGGCGACUACCUGGGACUGAUACUGACACUG
rnacentral:rRNA from 1 species